UACGUAGGGGGCAAGCGUUGUCCGGAUUUACUGGGCGUAAAGAGCGCGCAGGCGGUCGUUCAAGUCGCGUGUGAAAGCCCCCGGCUCAACUGGGGAGGGUCACGCGAUACUGCUCGACUCGAAGGCAGGAGAGGGAAGUGGAAUUCCCGGUGUAGUGGUGAAAUGCGUAGAUAUCGGGAGGAACACCAGUGGCGAAGGCGACUACCUGGCCUGUUCUUGACGCUGAGGCGCGAAAGCUAGGGGAGCAAACGGG
rnacentral:rRNA from 1 species